rnacentral:rRNA from 1 species
UACAGAGGGGGCAAGCGUUGUUCGGAAUUACUGGGCGUAAAGGGCGCGUAGGCGGCCUGUUAAGUCGAACGUGAAAUCCCCAGGCUCAACCUGGGAACUGCGUCCGAUACUGGCAGGCUUGAAUCCGGGAGAGGGAUGCGGAAUUCCAGGUGUAGCGGUGAAAUGCGUAGAUAUCUGGAGGAACACCGGUGGCGAAGGCGGCAUCCUGGACCGGUACUGACGCUGAGACGCGAAAGCGUGGGGAGCAAACAGG